CUGCAAGAUCAUGGAAAGAUCUUGCAAGAUCUUUCCAAGUUCUUGCAGGAUCUUACCUAAGAUCUUGCAGGAUCUUGCAAGAUCUUUCCAUGUUCUUGCAGGAUCUUACCUAAGAUCUUGCAAGAUCUUGCCAUUAUCAUGGCAAGAUCUUGCAGGAUUUGUACCAAGAUCAUGCCAAGAUCUUACAUAAAUCCUGCAAGAUCAUGGAAAGAUCUUGCAUGAUCUUGCAAGAUCUUUCCAAGUUCUUGCAGGAUCUUACCUAAGAUCUUGCAGGAUCUUG